UGACCACCUCGAGCAGUCAUAAGGAAGUCUACCUUCUCAUCGAUGACUAGCUCGAUGCUGCAGUUGUGUAUCUAGUUCUUUGACCUGAGGUGCAUCGACGGUUCACCUUGAAUGUUUUAUAGUUUGACUACACUAUAACUCGAUCUCCUAGCCAUUCGGAACCCUGAGGUGUAUGUUGGCUGUAGCAUAUCCAUUGUAGGAACCAGAUCGCAC
rnacentral:lncRNA from 1 species